UACGUAGGUGGCAAGCGUUAUCCGGAAUUACUGGGCGUAAAGCGCACGCAGGCGGUCUUUUAAGUUUGACGUGAAAGCUCCCGGCUUAACUGGGAGAGGUCGUUGAAGACUGGAAGACUUGAGGCAAUGAGAGGGGUGUAGAAUUCCCGGUGUAGUGGUGGAAUGCGUAGAUAUCGGGGGGAAUACCAGUGGCGAAAGCGGCACCCUAGCGUUAGCCUGACGCUCAUGUGCGAAAGCGUGGGGAGCGAACGGGG
rnacentral:rRNA from 1 species